rnacentral:sRNA from 1 species
ACUUAACGUCGUACUUAUUUCGGAGGACGCUGAUGAAGUCAUGCACCUUCUCCGGCGAGGGGAGGUGCUUGGCGAUGGAGUCGAUCUAUAUGCACUGUCGUGCCCACGUCGCCAGCUUUGGCGCUACCUCAUUGAUGCUGAACCCACCGCACCACUCGUAGCUGUAGAACCAUGUCGUGAAUAGCACGAGCGCAACAUUGGUGAAGCCAAGCCCGCCGCUACAAAAGAAGAACUCCCGCUUCGCCUCCAUCGUCCAGAGGAUCUCCACCAUCUUGCAUCGCACCGCGGCUUGCAGCUCCCCCUUGAGCCUCCAUAGCUUGAUCCCGCAGCGGUAGAGCU